UUUCGGGGGUUGAGAGUGGCGAACGGGUGAGUAAUGCAUCGGAACAUACCCAGUUGUGGGGGAUAACGUAGCGAAAGUUACGCUAAUACCGCAUGAGUCCUGAGGGAGAAAGCGGGGGAUCGCAAGACCUCGCGCGAUUGGAGUGGCCGAUGUCAGAUUAGCUAGUUGGUGGGGUAAAGGCCUACCAAGGCGACGAUCUGUAGCGGGUCUGAGAGGAUGAUCCGCCACACUGGGACUGAGACACGGCCCCAGACUCCUACGGGAGGCAGCAGUGGGGAAUUUUGGACAAUGGGCGAAAGCCUGAUCCAGCCAUGCCGCGUGCGGGAAGAAGGCCUUCGGGUUGUAAACCGCUUUCAGGCGGAAAGAAAUCGUCAGGGCCAACACCCCUGAUGGAUGACGGUACCGUCAGAAGAAGCACCGGCUAACUACGUGCCAGCAGCCGCGGUAAUACGUAGGGUGCGAGCGUUAAUCGGAAUUACUGGGCGUAAAGCGUGCGCAGGCGGCUUUUUUAAGCCAGACGUGAAAUCCCCGGGCUUACCCUGGGAACUGCGUUUGGAACUGGAAGGCUAGAGUGUGUCAGAGGGGGGGUGGAAUUUCCACGUGUAGCAGUGAAAUGCGUAGAGAUGUG
rnacentral:rRNA from 1 species